AAGUCGUAACAAGGUUUCCGUAGGUGAACCUGCGGAAGGAUCAUUAUUGAAAUAAACCUGAUGGGUUGUUGCUGGUUCUCUAGGGAGCAUGUGCACGCCUUGUCAUCUUUAUAUCUCCACCUGUGCACCUUUUGUAGACCUUUUCAAGGUCUAUGUUUAUUCAUUUACCCCAAUGUAUGUUAAUAGAAUGUUGUGUUUAUAAAAUCUAUACAACUUUCAGCAACGGAUCUCUUGGCUCUC
rnacentral:misc_RNA from 1 species